UAGGGAAUCUUCGGCAAUGGACGAAAGUCUGACCGAGCAACGCCGCGUGAGGGAAGAAGGUUUUCGGAUCGUAAAACUCUGUUGUUAGAGAAGAACAAGGACGUUAGUAACUGAACGUCCCCUGACGGUACCUAACCAGAAAGCCACGGCUAACUACGUGCCAGCAGCCGCGGUAAUACGUAGGUGGCAAGCGUUGUCCGGAUUUAUUGGGCGUAAAGCGAGCGCAGGCGGUUUCUUAAGUCUGAUGUGAAAGCCCCCGGCUCAACCGGGGAGGGUCAUUGGGAACUGGGGGGCUUGAGGGCAGAAGAGGAGAGUGGAAUUCCAUGUGUAGCGGUGAAAUGCGUAGAUAUAUGGAGAAACACCAGUGGCGAAGGCGGCUCUCUGGUCUGUAACUGCCGCUGAGGCUCGAACGCGUGGGGAGCAAACAGG
rnacentral:rRNA from 1 species